rnacentral:lncRNA from 1 species
AGUAUUUAGCCAAUGAGUGUCUCUUCCUGGGCAUCCCUUCCUGUAAUAGGUAUUUAAUCUCUGAUUCAUCCUGAGUAAGACGUAUGCAUCCUCAUUCACCAUGAAUAAAACAGUUUGGACAAGCAAGGACUAACUCCUUCAUCAAGGACUGCCUCUAGGUGAGGCCUUCGUCAUCCAGAGCCAUGCCUGAGUCUUUCCUAGAAGCCCCUCUUUCAACCUCUGUCCCUUUGGCACUCACUUGUGGCCAAGCCAGAUUCUGCCCCAUCCUGGGCUGCAGACUCCAAUCCUCAAUCCCCGAGGUGUCUGGGUGCACAGGCUGGAAUGGAGGCCUGUCCUGUUUUCACCCAGAGAAACACUCUGAGUUUCGCCUUCCCUGGAGCGGCAUGUCCGCAGCCCAGCACUCCAGCAUUGAGGAAGAAAUGCAGCCUAACACCCCUACAUUUCACCUCCUCUGAGCGGCACGCCAGUGGGGCUCUGAAAGCAGAGUGACAGUACUGUAUAGUGUGAAUUGUGUGUUAAUAAGUGUUAAAGUGCGUCUAGCGAGCUCAUAGCUGAUCCCAUACUUUGUGACUUCAUGCUUUCUCAAUGCAUUCUCUAACUUCAGGAUGAAGAUGCUGGGAUGAAAAGCAAAGUCCAUCAUAUUGCCAAGGAGAUCAUGAGCUCGGAGAAAGUGUAGGUAUCAAGUUACCAGUUCAGAAGACUGCUCUUCCCCAGUCGGCUUAUUAAAAAAAAAAA